AUUGAACGCUGGCGGCAGGCCUAACACAUGCAAGUCGAGCGGAUGAAGGGAGCUUGCUCCUGGAUUCAGCGGCGGACGGGUGAGUAAUGCCUAGGAAUCUGCCUGGUAGUGGGGAAAAACGUCGGAAAACGGGCGCUAUUACGCCAUACUUCCUAGGGAGGAAGGGGGGGAAUCUUGGAACCUAACGCUAUAGGAGAAGCUAGGUCGGAUUAGCUAGUUGGUGGGGUAAAGGCCUACCAAGGCGACGAUCCGUAACUGGUCUGAGAGGAUGAUCAGUCACACUGGAACUGAGACACGGUCCAGACUCCUACGGGAGGCAGCAGUGGGGAAUAUUGGACAAUGGGCGAAAGCCUGAUCCAGCCAUGCCGCGUGUGUGAAGAAGGUCUUCGGAUUGUAAAGCACUUUAAGUUGGGAGGAAGGGCAGUAAGUUAAUACCUUGCUGUUUUGACGUUACCAACAGAAUAAGCACCGGCUAACUUCGUG
rnacentral:rRNA from 1 species